rnacentral:rRNA from 1 species
UACAGAGGGGGCGAGCGUUGUUCGGAAUUACUGGGCGUAAAGGGCGCGUAGGCGGCCGGCUAAGUCAGACGUGAAAUCCCCGGGCUCAACCCGGGAACUGCGUCUGAUACUGGCUGGCUGGAGUCCGGGAGAGGGAAGCGGAAUUCCAGGUGUAGCGGUGAAAUGCGUAGAUAUCUGGAGGAACACCGGUGGCGAAGGCGGCUUCCUGGACCGGUACUGACGCUGAGGCGCGAAAGCCAGGGGAGCAAACGGG